rnacentral:lncRNA from 1 species
AUAACACCAUAGUCUUCUACUCUUCGUAUAUACUAUACAAAUAUAUAAUCCUAUCUGAGACAGUCUUCCCCAUACAAGCUUCCCCAUACCUGUGACAACAGGUCUGAAAACCAAACAAAACACCAUCCAUUUGUACUACAUGUUUUUAUUGUAAAUAUUGCUCCUGUUAUAUCUCCAUAAUAAAUUUGGUAAAUUAGGGUACAGGUGAAAUAGAAAAUUACAGUGUGGAAGACUGGGGAUUCAAUUUCCACAGUGACUCUGCUUGCUGACAUCAGGCUGUAUGCCGACCUAAGUCACCCCAUACCAUAAAACAGCAGUAUUUCAAGCCUUGCCUUACCCUGAGAGUCUCCAUUUUGUAAAGAACAUUUGACUAUAUUUUGAGCACAAAUGCAUAGGGUUUCUCUGUGGCAGAGGCAGGCGGAUCUCUGUGAGUUCGAGACCAGCCUAGUCUACAAGAGCUAGUUCCAGGACAGCCUUCUCCCUAAUUUUGACACCUAAGGUUGCUUUAACACUGAUGAGUGGAACAUGUGUUACAGAGGAUAAACCAAUGCUGAAACAAAGUACUAAUUACCGAGAACAUCAACCAAAACAGAUCUGUCUCUUCCUGUGUCCUGUGAAACAUUGUAAAUUCAGCACUAUCAAUUCAGUUGUCAGAUAGCACACUACCUCUUGAGUAUGAAGACUGUAUUUGCUGAUCAUCAAUGCAGCAUUGGGAUCUUGACAUGCAGAGAGAUCUCAAAGUCAUGACCUCCUCGGUUUACUCAUCUUUAGAAUCUUUGGGCUACUUUGAAAAAUUCAUAAAAUAUCAUCACAUAGACAUGCGUGCAUUUAUUUUGACGUUUUUAGGCCUUUAGACUUUGCUAUUAUUGGCAUGAAAGAAAGGGCAUAUUUGGUGUUAGUGGUAAAUAGAAACUUUUAUCCCAAAACUAAAGGCAUGCCUUAUAUUUGCUUUUGUUGGAAUGCCUCAUAUUCAUUUUCUCCAUGUAAGAAUUGUUUGCAAGGCUUCAAGAAAGUAAUGUAUCCCAUCUGAGAGUGUUAUGGAUGCUGUAAAGAUAAUCUUUAUAUAGGUAUGGAGUAAAUCUUUCUAGGAGUUUUAGUCCUGUCUUUUCCUGUGUGCUAUAUUUUAACUUUUAAGCUAUUAAAGAUUUGUUCAUCUUUAAAAUAGUAAUUUCUGAUCCAUAAAUAACAAACAAGACAUGAUACUGACAGCAUAGAAAAAAUAAUUGUACAUAGAGGAUGGAGAAAACAGAACAAUAUCAUUUGAUUCCUUCUCAUUCCCAGGAGGUGUUUCCCCAUUCUGAACUUAGGAACAAGACAGGCAACCAAAGAAAGAUUUAGUAGCCUUUGCUACCUAUGCACAAAUUACUUUAUUUAGUUUAAAGCCCAUACAAUGGUGUAUGCUCCUAAGUAUUUCAAUAAACAGCAGAAAAUUUCUUGGAUAAGAAAAACUGCCUGUGGUGAUCAGUCUUUUAAACAAAAGCAGUGUAAUAAAAUUUACUGGCAAUAUUAGG